UACGGGGGGUGCGAGCGUUGUUCGGAAUCACUGGGCGUAAAGGGCGCGUAGGCGGUUUGCUAAGGGUGUGGUGAAAGCCCGGGGCUCAACCCCGGGUCUGCCGUGCCGACUGUCAAACUCGAGGGCUGUAGAGGCAGACGGAAUUCCGGGUGUAGCGGUGGAAUGCGUAGAGAUCCGGAGGAAGACCGGUGGCGAAGGCGGUCUGCUGGGCAGUUACUGACACUGAUGCGCGACAGCGUGGGGAGCAAACGGG
rnacentral:rRNA from 1 species